rnacentral:rRNA from 1 species
CAGCCGCCGCGGUAAUACGGAGGGAGCUAGCGUUGUUCAGAAUUACUGGGCGUAAAGCGCACGUAGGCGGUUAUUCAAGUCGGAGGUGAAAGCCCGGGGCUCAACCCCGGAACUGCCUUUGAAACUAGAUGACUGGAAUCUUGGAGAGGUCAGUGGAAUUCCGAGUGUAGAGGUGAAAUUCGUAGAUAUUCGGAAGAACACCAGUGGCGAAGGCGACUGACUGGACAAGUAUUGACGCUGAGGUGCGAAAGCGUGGGGAGCAAACAGGAUUAGAUACCCCGGUAGUCCCUGUCUCUUAUAC